UUUUAAGUGCUUAUUUGAUAAGUUGUUUUUUAAUUUUGAAUUGGUUUUGCAAGUGAAGUGAUGUUGAUGCUGAUUGAUUGAAAAAGGGGGGCUGUUAUUCAACAGGUUUUGGAAAAGUUCUGAAGAGUUGGUUUUGAAUUGGGAACUUCCAAAAGAGCUUUUGGAAGAGUCUGUGAAAUAUGAUGUUGAUGCUGAUUGAUUGAAAAAGGGGGGCUGUUAUUCAACAGGUUUUGGAAAAGUUCUGAAGAGUUGGUUUUGAAUUGGGAACUUCCAAAAGAGCUUUUGGAAGAGUCUGUGAAAUUUGCUUUUUUUUGUUAUUUAUGUGGAUACUUUUGGGUUAUAAUGUAAUAUUUGGAUUAAAUUUUAAUUAUGUAAUUAUCUUUUAAGCUUUUCAAAAUUUAACUC
rnacentral:lncRNA from 1 species